rnacentral:rRNA from 1 species
CAGAGGGUGCGAGCGUUAAAUCGGAUUUACUGGGCGUAAAGCGUGCGUAGGCGGCUUUUUAAGUCGGAUGUGAAAUACCCCGACGCUUAACUUUGGGAAGUUGUCAUUCGAUACUGGGAAGGCUAGAGUAUGGGAGGAGGAUGGUAGAAUUCCAGGUGUAGCGGUGAAAUGCGUAGAGAUCUGGAGGAAUACCGAUGGCGAAGGCAGCCAUCUGGCCUAAUACUGACGCUGAGGUACGAAAGCAUGGGAGGCAAACAAGGAUU